rnacentral:rRNA from 1 species
UACGGGAGGCAGCAGUGGGGAAUAUUGCACAAUGGGCGCAAGCCUGAUGCAGCCAUGCCGCGUGUAUGAAAAAGGCCUUCGGGUUGUAAAGUACUUUCAGUCGUGAGGAAGGUGUUAAGGUUAAUAACCUUAGCAAUUGACGUUAGCGACAGAAGAAGCACCGGCUAACUCCGUGCCAGCAGCCGCGGUAAUACGGAGGGUGCGAGCGUUAAUCGGAAUUACUGGGCGUAAAGGGCACGCAGGCGGUUAAUUAAGUUGGAUGUGAAAUCCCCGGGCUUAACCUGGGAAUGGCAUUCAAGCUGGUUAGCUAGAGUCUUGUAGAGGGGGUAGAAUUCCAUGUGUAGCGGUGAAAUGCGUAGAGAUGUGGAGGAAUACCGGUGGCGAAGGCGGCCCCUGGACAAAGACUGACGCUCAUGUGCGAAAGCGUGGGGAGCGAAACGAGGGAUUAGAU